rnacentral:lncRNA from 1 species
CUAUGCCCAAAGAACCUGCCGCCCGGAAGCAACAACUUCCAUCAAACGGCAAAGAAAAGUUCCUAGGGAGAGAGCUUAGCGCCCAAGCAGCCUGCGCUAGUGCCGAGACAGAACAGGAGAGCAGCAGACAGUGCAGGCCGGGCCAGCCUGCAGGCGGUGGCUGCGGCGGCGCUGGUAGGGCAGACCCGGGCUCCGGAAGGCUCCAGGUCCGGGGGUGGCCGCCGGCCUUGGGCACAGUGCCGGCUUUCGCACCCCUCCCCACGACCGCGAGCAGUGGGCGGAGAGAUUAGAGCAAAGGAAAAGACGGACAAUGCCUGGCCGGGCCGGCGACCUCCGUGCGGCCCCCGCCGGCCCGUCCCUACUCGGGCGGCCAGCUACCGGGCUAAGUUUCCUAAGCCCUGCCUCCAGCCCCGGCGGCGAAAGCUCGGCCGCCGCCUUCCUCCCAGCCGGGCGGUUCCCGCGAGUCUGCGAGGAGGAGGCAGCGUGCGAGCCGAGCCGGGCGCGCAAGGAGGCGGCGCGCGAGGUAAGCGGACGCGCGGGGAGCCGGCGGCGCGCGCCGAAUGAGGCCGGGCGCGCGCGGGGGGACCCGGCACGAAGAGGAAGGAGCGCGGUGGGGAGUUGGGAGCGCGGGGCUCCCCCGGGACCCCCCGCAGCUCCGACGGGGUUUCAGUUGACUCGGACUGCACCGCAGCGAGAGUCCGUUAGGAGUCUCCGCCUGGGCGCGCAGCUGGCCGACCAUCCCGGCCCGCCUCCCCCUCGCUCCCACCAGGAAGGGCAGCCGGGCGAGAGCCAGUGACCUCUCCUCCCGCCAGUGACAGGAACAAGUCUGGCACCAUCAAAGAAGAGCAGAAAUCCAAGUUGCCAAGUCAGAGUGAAGAAGAGAGAGAAGGACAAGUAUGAGCUAAAAAUGAAACUGUCAUAAGAAAGAAAAGGGGAUGGCUAUUCAGAGACUUUCUUUUCAAAUAUUCGUUGCAGAGAAAAGAUUCCCUACAACAGAGAGUCACCUAGACAUGAAAGAAAUUCUGCUUCUACAACAAUUGACAAAAAGUAGACAGAUUCAUGUUUGACCACACUGGAUACUGGAUCAAGAUGCUGGAGAUAGACCUGAGAUUAAAGAACAAAGAAAUCUUAUCCACUAAACAGUAUUGAUUAGAACCAAAAUAUUUUGUCAUUGGAGGCCUUAUGUUACCCUUAAAAAUAAACUUUCGGAUAUUUUGGAUUUUUUUUUUUUGGCUUUUUGUGUGUGUGUGUGUGUGUGUGUGUGUGUGUGUGUGUGUGUGUUACUGGAAACUGAACCCAGGUGCACUCUACCACUGAGCUACAUCCCUAGAUUUUUCAUUCUUAAAUGGCCUUGCUAACUUGCACAAGCUGGCCUUGAAAUUGUAAUCCACCUGCCUUAACCUUCUGAGUAGCUCAUUACAGACAUUUACCACUGCUUCCAGCUUG